rnacentral:rRNA from 1 species
AACGAACGCUGGCGGCGUGCCUAACACAUGCAAGUCGAGCGAGAAAGCCCGCAAGGGUGAGUAAAGCGGCGCACGGGUGCGUAACACGUGGGUAAUCUGCCCUGGAGUCCGGAAUAACUCGCCGAAAGGCGUGCUAAUGCCGGAUAAGACCACGGGAGCCUCGGCUCCUGCGGAAAAAGGUGGCCUCUAUACACAAGCUAUCACUCCUGGAUGAGCCCGCGGCCCAUCAGCUAGUUGGCGGGGUAAUGGCCCACCAAGGCAACGACUGGUAGCUGGGCUGGGAGGACGAUCAGCCAAGCUGGAACUGAGACACGGUCCAGAGUCCUACGGGAGGCAGCAGUGGGGAAUAGUGCGCAAGGGGCGAAAGCCUGACGCAGCAACGCCGCGUGUGUGAUGAAGGUCUUCGGAUCGUAAAGCACUGUCGCGAGGGACGAAUAAGGGCUGGGUGAACAAUCCAGUCCGAUGACGGUACCUCGAGAGGAAGCACCGGCUAACUCUGUGCCAGCAGCCGCGGUAAUAC